AAUCCUGCGCCCGGGGAUGCCCCUGGCAGCACUGCUUGGGACCCCUACCUCCCUUACCCCAGUCUGCUCUCUUCCUCUUCGCCCCACCCCUUCCCUAGGCCCCUCUGCCCCUACCAGCGGAGGCUAGACGUGGAAAGCUCCUUUGGCGUCCGCUGGACGGGGAGGGGUCUGCAGCCUGCUCCGGCUCGGGGUCUGGGGAAACCUCGCACGUGGGCUUCCGCAAGGCGGGGAAAGGGGGGGGAUUCCCGACGUCAGGGGGCGGGGCACCCGGAAGCUCCGAGGGACGCGGAGGAGACAGCGGGGGCGGGGGCGCCGGCUGGGGCCGGGCUGGAGGAGGAGGAGGAGGCGGCGGCGGCAAAGUCCCGGGCAAACGUCGGAAGCCGCCGCCGCCGCCCGAGGGCUGUGCUCGAGCUUGAGUGUGAACCUGGGCCGGGCGGGAGCCGCCUGUGGCUGCCAGGUGAGCGGCGGCGGCGGCGGCGGCGGGGCACCGGCUCCGGGGCUGCAGCCUCCGCGGGUCCGCACCGGGGGGAGCCUGGAGGAGCUUGGAGGAGCCCGCGCCGCCGCCUCCUCGUCCUGUGUUCUCUCCGGGAAGGUAACUAUAACUCAGCGCCCAAGGUCAAGGGCGGAUCGGGGCGGGGCCGCAGACCGGAGAGCCCGGGUUUGCGGGGGAGGUCUAUCCCAGAUUGCACCCCCACCCCUCUACUCCCUGUACCCCCACGCGCCGUGGACCCGCACGGCUUAGACCGAGGUUCGAAUCGUGAUGUGCUCUGGCACAGUAUGUAUGACCUUGGGCAAGUCACCGCCCCUUUUCUGAACCUCACUUUUAUCCUGUGUAAAAUCCCCUUCCUCUGGGAUGUCGUGAGGAUUAAAUUCGAUAAGGUGUAUGAAACCUUCCCUAAGCCUCUCUAUAGGAGUGGCAGUCGUUAUCGUUUUUCCUUGCACCCAGAGAACCUGCUCUCCUGUAACGUGCCUUUCAAAUACGCCCCCUCCGGGCUCGAGCUGAGCGUGGACAAGGUGACCUCCCCUUCCUCUUAUCCCCUCCCAUUUCUUGAAAAACACGAGUUUCCCCUCUCCGUGGGGUUUCCCGAACCAGGCCGUCACGCCCUUUCGCCCCGCCCACCCCCUUACCUUUCCAGGCUGUCAGGUGUGUUGGGGCUGCUUAUGUCUGUGGCUCUCGGCUUCCUCCUCCCCGGCCUGGCUUCUGGGAGCGUGGUCCACUGUCGCCAUGGGAACAGUAAGCAUCCUUGUACAGGAGGGAGGGGGAGGCUCUGGAGGCAACAGAUGAAUAGUAAAGGCCUGACAGCCCCUCUCUCUCACCAGGCUUAA
rnacentral:lncRNA from 1 species